UACGUAGGGUGCAAGCGUUUGUCCGGAAUUAUUGGGCGUAAAGAGCUCGUAGGCGGCCUGUUGCGUCCGCUGUGAAAUCCCGGGGCUCAACCCUGGGCGUGCAGUGGAUACGGGCAGGCUGGAGGCAGGCAGGGGAGAACGGAAUUCCCGGUGUAGCGGUGAAAUGCGCAGAUAUCGGGAGGAACACCGGUGGCGAAGGCGGUUCUCUGGGCCUGUGCUGACGCUGAGGAGCGAAAGCGUGGGGAGCGAACAGG
rnacentral:rRNA from 1 species